rnacentral:rRNA from 1 species
UACAGAGGGUGCGAGCGUUGUCCGGAAUCACUGGGCAUAAAGGGCGCGUAGGCGGUUUUGUAAGUCGGGGGUGAAAUGCUGCGGCUCAACCGCAGCGCUGCCUUCGAGACUGCAAGACUGGAGCACGGUAGAGGCGGAUGGAAUUCCCGGUGUAGCGGUGGAAUGCGUAGAGAUCGGGAGGAACACCGGUGGCGAAGGCGGCAUUCUGGACCGAAACUGACGCUGAUGCGCGAAAGCCAGGGGAGCAAACGGG